ACCCGCUGAACUUAAGCAUAUCAAUAAGCGGAGGAAAAGAAACCAACAGGGAUUACCUCAGUAACGGCGAGUGAAGCGGUAACAGCUCAAAUUUGAAAUCUGCCAACAGGCCGAGUUGUAAUUUGUAGAAGAUGCUUCGGGUGUGGCACCGGUCUAAGUUCAUUGGAACAUGACGUCAUAGAGGGUGAGAAUCCCGUAUGUGACUGGUUGCCUAUGCUCAUGUGAAGCUCUUUCAACGAGUCGAGUUGUUUGGGAAUGCAGCUCAAAAUGGGUGGUAUAUUUCAUCUAAAGCUAAAUAUUGGCCAGAGACCGAUAGCGCACAAGUAGAGUGAUCGAAAGAUGAAAAGCACUUUGGAAAGAGAGUUAAACAGUACGUGAAAUUGUUGAAAGGGAAGCGCUUGCAAUCAGACUUGCACGUUUUCGAUCAUCCGGUGUUCUCACCGGUGCACUCGAUUUCGUUCAGGCCAGCAUCGGUUUUGGUGGUUAGAUAAAGACCUUAGGAAUGUGGCUCUUUCGGGAGUGUUAUAGCCUGGGGUGUAAUGUAGCCUACCGGGACCGAGGACCGCGCUUCGGCUAGGAUGCUGGCGUAAUGGUUGUAAGCGACCCGUCUUGAAACACGG
rnacentral:rRNA from 1 species